rnacentral:hammerhead_ribozyme from 1 species
AUCCAGAUGACGAAUCCCAAAUAGGACGAAAUGUGCAUCCUGGAU